UACGUAGGGUCCGAGCGUUGUCCGGAAUUAUUGGGCGUAAAGGGCUCGUAGGCGGUUUGUCGCGUCGGGAGUGAAACCUACAGCUAACUGUGGGCUUGCUUUCGAUACGGGCAGACUUGAGGCAUGCAGGGGAGAACGGAAUUCCUGGUGUAGCGGUGAAAUGCGCAGAGUAUCAGGAGGAACACCGGUGGCGAAGGCGGCUCACUGGCCCGGUACUGACGCUGGAGGUGACGAAAGCGUGGGGAGCAAACAGGAUUAGAUACC
rnacentral:rRNA from 1 species